CAGACUUCAGCCAGGACGUGGGAGGACAACUGGACCCUGAUCUUUACAGAGAUCCAAUGUUGGUCUCCUUGGGGGUCUCAGUUUUCCAAACCAGAUGUGACCCCCAUCUGGAACACGGAGAAGAGCCAUAAAAGGCUAGGGAACGCUUUCCUGUCCAGAUCUGGUGGUCAGAUCUGAAACCAAAGAUGAACUCAGCACAGAGGUUUUCCCGGGAAGAACCAGCCCUUAGAGUCGUGAUGAGUAAGAACACUUAGCAGGAUGGCCUCUGCUCCCUGAGACAGGAUAACCUCCGCCCAGUGACUUGACAAACUGCCCCAAGGCACCGCAAAAUCCAGAGAGGCAACGAUGACAUGUGCUGUCCCCCCCCCCAGGCCCUUCCCUGGAGCCCAGAGUCUGUCCCAGGCUGGAGUCCACAGGCCGAUCCCAGUCGCUGCUCUUAGAAGGAAAGAAGGAAGUGCGGGUCCAGACACCUCCGAAGCUCCAGGCUCUGGCUGCUUGAAGAGGGAGCCGAGUAGGAGAGGAUGGAGAUUCUGACUCAGAAGCCAAGAAACAGGGAACAGGCCCAGCAUGGGGAGGCAGCGGGUGCAAGAAGGGCAAGAAGUGACAAUUGAAGGCAAAGCCCAACUUAAGAACCCCCUUGGGAAGUCUGGGGUGGAGACUCAGUUUAUACCCCGCAGAAGGGAUAAGGGAAUCUGAGGCGCAGUCUGCCCCAGAGGAACCCAAAGGGGAGUCAGGCUCCCCAUGAACCUGGGCACGUGUUUCUCCUGUCUGUGCCAGGAGCCUCGGCCUCGGUUGUCGUGUGUGUUAAAUGGCCACCCUAAAUUCUAAAUUAAAUGUAAUCCGCUGGAAUAUGAACGUCUCCACUAGAACGUGGACCCCUUGAGAGCAAGGACUUUCUCUUUAAAAAUUGUGAUAAAAUACACAUAACAUAAAAUUUACCAUCUUAGCCAUUUUUAAGUGUGCAAUUCAGUGACAUUGCUUUGCAAGCUUCACCACCAUCCAUCUCCAGAAUUUUUUCAUCUCCUCAAACUGAAACUCUGUCCCCAUUCAACACCAACUCUCCAUUCCCCUCCCCCAAGCCCAGGCAUCCACCAUUCUACUUUCUGUCUCUAUGAAUUUGACUAUUCUGGGGACGUCACACAGAUGGAAUCAUGGAGUAUUUGUCUUUUUGUGACUGGCUUACUGCACUUGGCAUGAUGUCCUCAGGGUUCACCGUGUUGUUGCAUGUGUCAGCAUUUCCUUCCUUUUUAAGGCUGGAUUGUAGUCCACUGUGCGCACAGCCCACACUGUGUUUCUUCAUGGGUUCUGUCCACUGCUGUAUUGCACCCCUAGAACCUUGCUAGCACACGGGAGGGAUUCAAAUAAGCGUUGAGAGAACGACUUAAAUGAGAUAAGCCACGGAAAGCACUACUCUCAGGCACAUAGUAAGCCUUCUGAAAGUAUUAGCCGUUGGCAUGACUCGCCAUCUUCAUGGUAAUCUCAUCCGUGUAAACAUGACCCACAGGAAAGCGAGAGGUCUCGGCAGCGCCCAGAAACAGUUGUAUCUCUCACUGCCACCCCCGUGCAUACACAGAGUGAAGCAGCAGAAGUCACAAGUUAAGAGUUCAAUGUCCCCGGUGCUUCUGAGCUUGGCACUUAUAACCUGAAGUUCUACCAGCUUCUGCCUGAAGAGGUGCCUCCUGGAAGUAGGCUGGUCCCUACCAUCUUGGUGGCCUUUUCUGGAAGACUCAUUGUGGUGGGAGCCCCUGGCUAUGAGCUGCCCUCUGUCACCCUCCAUCGUUCUUAGGGACACCCACUUUCCUUAGAGAUGAGGAAGGCCCAGCCCAGCACUGCAGGAACGGCAGCCAGUGACAUGGUGGGAGGCGGCCAGCAAUGGCCCUCCUUGCUCCAGGGCUACACCUGCAGAAAACCUGGGGUUUAUAUAGGUCAUUUUUCAUACAGGAAGAGAGGGAAUCCCUUUCUACUUCCUCCUUGAACAAAUUCCAGGAGAUUCAGAUGAUGUGUCCUGAAGGUGAUGAGCUGGCAGCCCAAGGCCGUCUUGUCACGUUUCCGUGGUGCAGACGCAGGCCCCAAGAUGCUGCCGUUAUCUGAAGGCCUCUGCUCUACCACGAGAGAAGCCACAGGCUGGUGAGAGCCUGUCUAGGAGGCUGGCUGGGAGGGGGCACAGGAAAGAGGCUGCUGUGUCUUUCCACAGAAAGCUCGUGGACCUCUACCCGUCCGCGGGAGCCUCGUGGCCCAGAGUGGAUGGGGCUGCUCCGUCUUCUCCUGUCAGCUUUACACAGCUCAGCGCGGCAGCCUUUUGACAUGAAGUAAUAAUUGUCAGAGAGGGUCAGGCCUGCACCAGCCGAGAAAACAGCAGAGUGACCCUUGGAAGGAAAGCAGGUCCUGCCGAAUCCGUGCACAGCCCAUUAGCGGGUCAGAGGACCUUCCCCCGCUGACAUUUGCGUCGUCGCUGCCUCAUCAAGAAAUCUGACUUGGGGACAUCCUCUGGGCAGUCACCUUGAUGGGGGCCGUGUGCCCAGCCUCCUUCAGAGUGGUGCUCGGCAGAUGGUUUUAAACAUCAUAAUGAAAAAACAAUAGAAGGCGUUUCACGGUUAUUUUUACCUUAGUACAAAAGGAAUAAAUAAUCAGAGAAAUUUUGGAGAUUAUGAAAAAGCACAGAGAUGGAAUAAAUCGUUUACCCC
rnacentral:lncRNA from 1 species